rnacentral:ncRNA from 2 species
CGCAAGGGGGUUUUCGUUGGUUCCUGCAAAUUGCAGGCGAAGAGGGAAUGUGACAGGCUCGAAAGCGCAUAAGCGAUCGGGUUUCAAGCACAGCCGCCCCCGCGACCGUGACCGGAGAGGUCUCUGAUGCCACUGGGCCCGUGAGUUUCACGUCCCGGGAAGGCAAGAGUACCGCAAGCAGGCUUCAGGCCUGUUGAGAUCCGCAAGCCGGGAGACCUGCCAACGAAUGAGACAACGG